rnacentral:rRNA from 1 species
UACGUAGGUGGCAAGCGUUGUCCGGAUUUACUGGGCGUAAAGGGCUGGCAGGCGGCUGUGUAAGUUGGACGUGAAAGCUCUCGGCUUAACCGGGAGAGGCCGUUCGAGACUGCACAGCUAGAGGGCAGUAGAGGGGCGUGGAAUUCCGGGUGGAGUGGUGAAAUGCGUAGAGAUCCGGAGGAACCUCAGAGGCGAAAGCGGCGCUCUGGGCUGCAUCUGACGCUGAACAGCGAAAGCUAGGGUAGCGAACGGG